rnacentral:rRNA from 1 species
UACGUAGGGUGCGAGCGUUGUCCGGAAUUACUGGGCGUAAAGAGCUCGUAGGUGGUUUGUCGCGUUGUUCGUGAAAACUCACAGCUCAACUGUGGGCGUGCGGGCGAUACGGGCAGACUAGAGUACUGCAGGGAGACUGGAAUCCUGGUGUAGCGGUGGAAUGCGCAGAUAUCAGGCGGAACACCGGUGGCGAAGGCGGGUUACUGGGCUGAUACUGACGCUGAAUCACGAAAGCUAGGGGAGCAAACAGG